AUAUGUGGAAAGCUGAUCCAGCUACUGCGCCACGUUGAUGGAGGUUCUCCCCAUGAUCUGAAUUAUUUCAUAGAGAAGAAAAACAAGCUGCACAGGGCAGAAUGGUAUUGAAUGUUAUAAUAUGGAGCCCCUAUCACUGGAUUAAUAUUGGGCAUUUGCACCAACUGUACAGUAUACUUGACUACCUAGAAGGCCUCGCCCAUCCCUCCUAGAAGACUCAUAGAUCAAUGUUCUAAUUCCAUGGUAUACAGCUCUUCAAAGAAGAGCAUAAAAUAGCAAAUAGACCUCUA